GCUCCGGUGGCCUUGUGGAUCGAGCGUCCGCCUCGGAUGCGGGAGGUCUUGGGUUCGAUCCCCGGUUGAAUCA